rnacentral:rRNA from 1 species
AUUGAACGCUGGCGGCAGGCCUAACACAUGCAAGUCGAGCGGGGAGAUGGUGCUUGCACUAUCACUUAGCGGCGGAGGGGUGAGUAAUGCUGAGGGAUCUGCCUAUUAGUGGGGGACAACAUCUCGAAAGGGAUGCUAAUACCGCAUACGUCCUACGGGAGAAAGCAGGGGAUUUACGGACCGUGCGCUAAUAGAUGAGCCUAAGUCGGAUUAGCUAGUUGGUGGGGUAAAGGCCUACCAAGGCGACGAUCUGUAGCGGGUCUGAGAGGAUGGUCCGCCACACUGGGACUGAGACACGGCCCAGACUCCUACGGGAGGCAGCAGUGGGGAAUAUUGGACAAUGGGCGGAACCCUGAACCAGCCAUGCCGCGUGUGUGAAGAAGGCCUUAUGGUUGUAAAGCACUUUCAGCGAGGAGGAAGCUACUUUAGUUAAUACCUAGAGGUAGUGGACGUUACUCGCAGAAUAAGCACCGGCUAACUCUGUGCCAGCCGCCGCGGUAA